UACGUAGGGUGCAAGCGUUGUCCGGAAUUAUUGGGCGUAAAGAGCUCGUAGGCGGUCUGUCACGUCUGCUGUGAAAACUCGGGGCUUAACCCCGGGCCUGCAGUGGGUACGGGCAGACUAGAGUGCGGUAGGGGAGACUGGAAUUCCUGGUGUAGCGGUGAAAUGCGCAGAUAUCAGGAGGAACACCAGUGGCGAAGGCGGCUCACUGGUCCGGUACUGACGCUGAGGUGCGAAAGCGUGGGGAGCAAACAGG
rnacentral:rRNA from 1 species